rnacentral:lncRNA from 10 species
CCUGCAGCCCACACCUGGGAGGAAGCAGCAGGUGGCACUCCCGCUGGAGGGGUCUCUGGUCCUGGGGAUGGUGGGGAGGGAGUGGUCCUCAGUGCAGCAGUUGAGGCAGGCGACUCUGUUCCUGAACCUUCCAGAGAGAAGACAGAGGUCAGCCUUCCUCCUAAGGAAGCAAAAUCCUCCCAACACCCUGCUGAAGGGACCAUGAGUGACCCCUUUUCCACAGGUGGGGAACGGAAGCUUGGGGAGGUCAGAUGCAAGUCCUGGGUUGGGAAAUGUCCAUUGGCUGAAUUUCACAGUCCUCCCACUUGGAGUCCUUUUUGAGACUAUGUGGACAUCAAGAUUCUUUUUUUUUUUUUUUUUUUU